rnacentral:rRNA from 1 species
AGCAGCCGCGGUAAUUCCAGCUCCAAUAGCGUAUAUUAAAGUUGUUGCAGUUAAAAAGCUCGUAGUUGAAUUUCGGGAUCAAGGAAUCGGUCAUGCCUCGGUAUGUACUGGUUUUAUUGGUUCUCACCUUCUAAAGAACCAUAAUGUCAUUCAUUUGAUGUUAUGGGGAAUUAGGACUGUUACCUUGAAAAAUUAGAGUGUUUAAAGCAGGCUCACGCUUGAAUACAUUAGCAUGGAAUAAUGAAAUAGGACGUUUGAUUCUAUUUUGUUGGUUUCUAGGAUCGACGUAAUGAUUAAUAGGGAUAGUUGGGGGCAUUAGUAUUCAAUUGUCAGAGGUGAAAUUCUUGGAUUUAUUGAAGACUAACUACUGCGAAAGCAUUUGCCAAGGAUGUUUUCAUUAAUCAAGAACGAAAGUUAGGGGAUCGAAGACGAUCAGAUACCGUCGUAGUCUUAACCAUAAACUAUGCCGACUAGGGAUCGGAUGAUGUUAAUUUUUUAAUGUACUCA